rnacentral:rRNA from 1 species
AUUCCAGCUCCAAUAGCGUAUAUUAAAGUUGUUGCAGUUAAAAAGCUCGUAGUUGGAUCUCAGGGUGAGCUCAGUUGGUCGGCCUAAUUGGUCAGAACUGGCUGACUCUCCCUUGUUUCUGAAUCCCGGUCGGAGUUAAUUCUUCGUUCGUGGACUUCAGAUCGUUUACCUUGAAAAAAUUAGAGUGUUCAAAGCGGGCGUUUGCUUGAAUACAUUAGCAUGGAAUAAUGGAAUAGGACCCUGGUUCUAUUUUGUUGGUUUUGAGGACCAGAGUAAUGAUUAAUAGGGAUAGUUGGGGGCAUUCGUAUUCCGCCGAGAGAGGUGAAAUUCUCAGACCAGCGGAAGACGAACCACUGCGAAAGCACUUGCCAGGGAUGUUUUCAUCG